rnacentral:rRNA from 1 species
UACGUAGGGUGCAGGCGUUAAUCGGAAUUACUGGGCGUAAAGCGUGCGCAGGCGGUUUCUUAAGUCAGAUGUGAAAUCCCCGGGCUUAACCUGGGAACUGCGUUUGAAACUGGGAGACUUGAGUGUGGCAGAGGGGGGUGGAAUUCCACGUGUAGCAGUGAAAUGCGUAGAUAUGUGGAGGAACACCAAUGGCGAAGGCAGCCCCCUGGGUCAACACUGACGCUCAUGCACGAAAGCGUGGGGAGCAAAC